AACGAACGCUGGCGGCAUGCCUAACACAUGCAAGUCGGACGAGACCUUCGGGUCUAGUGGCGCACGGGUGCGUAACGCGUGGGAACCUGCCCUUAGGUUCGGAAUAACUCCCCGAAAGGGGUGCUAAUACCGGAUAAUGUCUUCGGACCAAAGAUUUAUCGCCUUUGGAUGGGCCCGCGUUGGAUUAGCUAGUUGGUAGGGUAAAAGCCUACCAAGGCGACGAUCCAUAGCUGGUCUGAGAGGAUGAUCAGUCACACUGGGACUGAGACACGGCCCAGACUCCUACGGGAGGCAGCAGUGGGGAAUAUUGGACAAUGGGCGAAAGCCUGAUCCAGCAAUGCCGCGUGAGUGAUGAAGGCCUUAGGGUUGUAAAGCUCUUUUACCCGGGAUGAUAAUGACAGUACCGGGAGAAUAAGCUCCGGCUAACUCCGUG
rnacentral:rRNA from 1 species